rnacentral:rRNA from 1 species
GAGUUUGAUCCUGGCUCAGAAUCAACGCUGGCGGCGUGCCUCAGACAUGCAAGUCGAACGAUUAAAGCUCCCUUCGGGGAGUGCAUAAAGUGGCGCACGGGUGAGUAACACGUAAGUAAUCUACCCUCGAGUGGGGAAUAACGUCCGGAAACGGACGCUAAUACCGCAUAAUGCAGCGGCACCGCAAGGUGACAGUUGUUAAAGAUUUAUCGCUUGAGGAGGAGCUUGCGGCAGAUUAGCUUGUUGGUAAGGUAAUGGCUUACCAAGGCAACGAUCUGUAGCCGGUCUAAGAGGACGGUCGGUCACACUGACACUGAAUAACGGGUCAGACUCCUACGGGAGGCAGCAGUCGGGAAUUUUGGGCAAUGGGCGAAAGCCUGACCCAGCAACGCCGCGUGAAGGAUGAAGUAUUUCGGUAUGUAAACUUCGAAAGAAUGGGAAGAAUAAAUGACGGUACCAUUUAUAAGGUCCGGCUAACUACGUGCCAGCAGCCGCGGUAAUACGUAGGGACCAAGCGUUGUUCGGAUUUACUGGGCGUAAAGGGCGCGUAGGCGGCAUGACAAGUCACUUGUGAAAUCUCUGGGCUUAACCCAGAACGGCCAAGUGAUACUGUCGCGCUAGAGUGCGGAAGGGGCAAUCGGAAUUCUCGGUGUAGCGGUGAAAUGCGUAGAUAUCGAGAGGAACACCUGAGGUGAAGACGGGUUGCUGGGCCGACACUGACGCUGAGUGCGCGAAAGCCAGGGGAGCAAACGGGAUUAGAUACCCCGGUAGUCCUGGCCCUAAACGAUGAAUACUUGGUG